UCCCCGUUAUCCGGGGCGGUUUCGCCAGAGUGCUCACCAUAACGUGUUAGCAACUGGCAAUAAGGGUUGCGCUCGUUGCGGGACUUAACCCAACAUCUCACGACACGAACUGACGACAGCCAUGCAGCACCUGUGUUCCGAUUCCCGAAGGCACUCCCGCAUCUCUGCAGGAUUCCGGACAUGUCAAGGCCAGGUAAGGUUCUUCGCGUUGCAUCGAAUUAAGCCACAUACUCCACGGCUUGUGCAGGCCCCCGUCAAUUUCUUUGAGUUUUAAUCUUGCGACCGUACUUCCCAGGCGGCGUAUUUAACGCGUUGGCUACGCCACAAAAGGGGUCGAUUCCUUUUACAGCAAAUACGCACCGUUUACGGCUAGGACUAC
rnacentral:misc_RNA from 1 species